CAUGCAACUUCAUCAACCACUAAACAUAGGAUAUUCACAAAUCACAACUCAUUUGGUUACUUAUAAAACUCAUUUGGUUCCAACUCUGCUUCAAUUUCAUUUGGUUCCAGCAAAGUCUUUCCAAAUAGUUUCUCUACUUUAUUUUUUUGAGGUAUGAGGUCAUUUUCUACCCCUUUCUGUCUUAUUGGAUUGCUAACAUGACUGAACCUCACAAGGUAACUUUUCACAUCUUCUACUCAAUAAGUGCUCCUAUAAUUUCCUGGUAUACAUU
rnacentral:lncRNA from 1 species